rnacentral:rRNA from 1 species
CAUAGCGGAGGAAAAGAAACCAACAGGGAUUGCCUUAGUAGCGGCGAGUGAAGCGGCAAAAGCUCAAAUUUGAAAUCUGGCUCUUUCAGAGUCCGAGUUGUAAUUUGAAGAAGGUAUCUUUGGGUCUGGCUCUUGUCUAUGUUUCUUGGAACAGAACGUCACAGAGGGUGAGAAUCCCGUGCGAUGAGAUGAUCCAGGCCUAUGUAAAGUUCCUUCGAAGAGUCGAGUUGUUUGGGAAUGCAGCUCUAAGUGGGUGGUAAAUUCCAUCUAAAGCUAAAUAUUGGCGAGAGACCGAUAGCGAACAAGUACAGUGAUGGAAAGAUGAAAAGAACUUUGAAAAGAGAGUGAAAAAGUACGUGAAAUUGUUGAAAGGGAAGGGCUUGAGAUCAGACUUGGUAUUUUGUAUGUUACUUCUUCGGGGGUGGCCUCUACAGUUUAUCGGGCCAGCAUCAGUUUGGGCGGUAGGAGAAUUGCGUUGGAAUGUGGCACGGCUUCGGUUGUGUGUUAUAGCCUUCGUCGAUACUGCCAGCCUAGACUGAGGACUGCGGUUUAUACCUAGGAUGUUGGCAUAAUGAUCUUAAGUCGCCCGUCUUGAAACCACGGACCCUCUU